GGGCCUGUAGCUCAGGGGUAGAGCGCUCGCUUUGCAUACUCUUCGGAGCACCUGUGAAAAUGCGAGAGGCCUAGGGUUCAAAUCCCUACCGGUCCA